rnacentral:rRNA from 1 species
UGGGGGAUAUUGCACAAUGGGCGAAAGCCUGAUGCAGCGACGCCGCGUGGGGGAUGAAGGCCUUCGGGUUGUAAACUUCUUUUGCUCUGAACAAGGCAUGCUAAUGUGUGUGUUGAGUGUAGGGGUUGAUUAGCGCCGGCUAACUACGUGCCAGCAGCCGCGGUAAUACGUAGGGCGCGAGCGUUGUCCGGAAUUAUUGGGCGUAAAGGGCUUGUAGGUGGCUGGUUGCGUCUGUCGUGAAAGCUCAUGGCUUAACUGUGGGUUUGCGGUGGGUACGGGCUGGCUUGAGUGCAGUAGGGGAGGCUGGAAUUCCUGGUGUAGCGGUGGAAUGCGCAGAUAUCAGGAGGAAUACCGGUGGCGAAGGCGGGUCUCUGGGCUGUUACUGACACUGAGGAGCGAAAGCAUGGGGAGCGAACAGG